rnacentral:rRNA from 1 species
CACUCCUACGGGAGGCAGCAGUGGGGAAUAUUGCACAAUGGGCGCAAGCCUGAUGCAGCCAUGCCGCGUGUAUGAAGAAGGCCUUCGGGUUGUAAAGUACUUUCAGCGGGGAGGAAGGCGAUAAGGUUAAUAACCUUGUCGAUUGACGUUACCCGCAGAAGACGCACCGGCUAACUCCGUGCCAGCAGCCGCGGUAAUACGGAGGGUGCAAGCGUUAAUCGGAAUUACUGGGCGUAAAGCGCACGCAGGCGGUCUGUCAAGUCGGAUGUGAAAUCCCCGGGCUCAACCUGGGAACUGCAUUCGAAACUGGCAGGCUAGAGGCUUGUAGAGGGGGGUAGAAUUCCAGGUGUAGCGGUGAAAUGCGUAGAGAUCUGGAGGAAUACCGGUGGCGAAGGCGGCCCCCUGGACAAAGACUGACGCUCAGGUGCGAAAGCGUGGGGAGCAAACAGGAUUAGAAACCCGUGUAGUCCCAU